CAAGAAACUCAACUAUCCACAAACUCCUACUCCUUUAUCUUACUCUUUUCCAAUUGCAUACGACCAGGAGUUACAGCUGACUGGGCUGAAAUCACGCACCUGAGUACUAUCCUUGUGCUUGUUUCUGUUAACAACAGAUCAAAUAUGUAAAGCAGAUGGACUACCCUAUGGAGGGAAUCGCUGGAAGGAGUGGCUAAUCAGAGAGGCUGGCUGGCAACAGCACGCAAGUGGGUCCGUGGGCGGGGAUCCAACCAAUGAGGUUGAGGGUGUCUUUCUCCCCUAGGAGUCCGCCGACCAGGCCCUCACUAGUCAGAGGAGGAAGGGAAGAGCUGCUUAAAGGCGUCGUGCUUGGCGCGGUGUCGCUAGAGGUGACUGGACCUGGUGACGGCCUGCCCGCAGUCCUCGCUCUGGUUUGGCCCCUGAUGCCCACAGCCUUCUGGGGCACAAAACAAGGCCUAAUGCUGUCUGGUGUGGCAUGGAGGUUGGGACUUUGGCCGGGAUCCUGGAACAAGCAGAGCUACAGAAUGUCCUGGACCACUGGCUUCCCACCCACCACCAGCACCCAACUUCGACGUCAGGACCCAGAGAAUCCUCUUACUGCUGCAGACUGUGCCUUUACCACAGCACUUGGCACAUGGCUCUGUAGAGCACCCAGGGCUCUACCUUUGAUCUCAGUUGUCAUGGCAAUGAGAGCACUGUGAGACAGUGAAAAAGAUCAUGCCUGUACUUGGAAAGUGAGAUGUUUAUGAAUAUUCUUUCUCUUUCCUCUCUGCUUGAAAGAAAGAAAGAAUUGGGGGGGGCGGAACAAUCUCAUGUUCUUUAAGCACCUAUUGUGUGGCAGGCAUGAGGAUGGAUGCUUAAUAUAUGUCUUAUGUAAAAUGAAUGUGUAUAAAACCUUUUUAUAUUGUGAACUAUAACUCACCUACUGAAGUGUGCACAAACAAAAAAUUCAGCUCACUUAUUUAUUACAAAGCAAAUGUCCAUGUAAAAUAAAAAAACAGACAUUGCCAGAAUCCCAGAAAGGACCUUAUGAUCCCUUUUUAAUUAUUUUCUCCUCCUUUUCCUUCAAAGGAAAAAUUGUUCUAACUUCGUAGAAAACACUUACUUUCUUUUCUUUGAAGCUCUACCAUUUA
rnacentral:lncRNA from 1 species